AACACCCACAACUACCACACAAGCACCCACAUCUACCACAGAAGCACCCACAACUACCACACAAACUCCCACAACUACCACAGAAACACCCACAACUACCACACAAGCACCCACAACUACCACACAAGCACCCACAACUACCACUGAAAAACCCACAACUACCACAUCAACACCCACAACUACAACCAAAACACCCACAACUACCACAGAAACACCCACAACUACCACACAAGCACCCACAACUACCACACAAACUCCCACAACUACCACACCAACACCUACAACUACCACACCAACACCCGCAACCACCACUCUGCCACCCACAACUGCAUCAUCUCCAAACAUCUCAACUAGGAAGGUGGAAAAUUCAACGGCAAGUGAUGUAUCUAGAGUCCCAGUUGGACUGACUAUGAGGGUGUCCUCUGUGACCAAGCUAAAUGAAACCUACAUCAAGGAGGUGUUCUUGCAGCAGCUCCAGGAGGAAUUGAUCAGACGAGGGCUACCAGCAGACAUCACUGUCGGUCUGAGGAAGGUUCAAGCUCUCAGCCCCUGAGGGAAAGAGAACAUGGGUCUUGUCAACCCAAAUGUGGUCCCACUGAAGGAUAAUGAAGUUGGAUUAAAAAUAUAUUAUUGUUCACCAGCACUCAGGCAGGGGCGUAGCCACGUGGUGGCCAGUGGGGGCCACGGCCACCAUUGGUCAGAGAAUGGCCACCCUGCCGCCCCCCCCCCCCACCUCACAAAAAAGGGUUAGGGUUAGGUUUUUUAUUUUUAUUUUAUAGUCCCUGAGGGAGAGAGAAAAUGGGUCUUGUCAACCCAAAUGUGGUCCCACUGAAGGAUAAUGAAGUUGGAUUAAAAAUAUAUUAUUGUUCACCAUCAGUCACAUGCUCUUUAUGUGUCUUUAGUGCCACCUGGAGGAAAAAGAAGAUUUGAACGUUUUUGUGUUCUACUUUCGACUGUACAUAGUUGCAUGUUGAAGCUUUGUAUUUAAUGUUUGUAUAGAUAUGUUUAUGCAUAUCUGCGUGCUUAUUUUUGUGUCAGAGUGGCAGUAGGCAACCUCUUAGUAGCAUUGUUCUGCUACUCAAAUCAUGUGAUUUGUCAUAAUGCUAAAUGAUUAAAUCUAACCACAGAGACCUCAGUGAAGCAACCAUGGAGGCCACGAAAGAUGUAUUGCAAAAUAAAGUUGAAUCUGGGAAUCACUGUCUCGUCUUUCCACAAUACUCAUCUCAAACAGGUUCAUAACUGCUUUGUCAUGUGGAUCAUUGUUAUGUUCAAGGGAUUCUCGCCACAGGCAGUCAAUCGCUUGAUUGCAUUAAAGCCCAGUGACUUUUCAUAGCCAAGCUGAUAGAGAGAGAGAGGAAGCGAGAGAGAGAGAGAAAGA